GAUGAACGCUGGCGGCGUGCUUAACACACGCAAGUCGAGCGAGUGAGUUCUUCGGAACAAUCCAGCGGCGGACGGGUGAGUAACACGUGGGCAACCUGCCUCAUAGAGGGGAAUAGCCUCCCGAAAGGGAGAUUAAUACCGCAUAAAAUUAUCGAGUGGCAUCACAUGAUAAUCAAAGGAGUAAUCCGCUAUGAGAUGGGCCCGCGGCGCAUUAGCUAGUUGGUGAGGUAACGGCUCACCAAGGCGACGAUGCGUAGCCGACCUGAGAGGGUGAUCGGCCACAUUGGGACUGAGACACGGCCCAGACUCCUACGGGAGGCAGCAGUGGGGAAUAUUGCACAAUGGGGGAAACCCUGAUGCAACAACGCCGCGUGAGUGAUGAAGGUCUUCGGAUUGUAAAGCUCUGUCUUUGGGGACGAUAAUGACGGUACCCAAGGAGGAAGCCACGGCUAACUACGUGCCAGCCGCCGCCGUAA
rnacentral:rRNA from 1 species